AGAGUUCGAUCCUGGCUCAGGAUGAACGCUGGCGGCGUGCCUAACACAUGCAAGUCGAACGGAGUCCAGCCUCUAAGACCUUCGGGUCAAAGAGGGGAAGACUGAGUGGCGGACGGGUGAGUAACACGUGGGCAACCUGGCUCAUAGAGGGGGAUAACAGAGAGAAAUUUCUGCUAAUACCGCAUAAGCACACACUGCCGCAUGGCAGAGGGUGAAAAGAGAAUCGCUAUGAGAUGGACCCGCGUCUGAUUAGCCAGUUGGCAGGGUAAGAGCCUACCAAAGCGACGAUCAGUAGCCGAUCUGAGAGGAUGAACGGCCACAUUGGGACUGAGACACGGCCCAAACUCCUACGGGAGGCAGCAGUGGGGAAUAUUGGACAAUGGGGGCAACCCUGAUCCAGCGACGCCGCGUGAGUGAAGAAGUAUUUCGGUAUGUAAAGCUCUAUCAGCAGGGAAGAAAAUGACGGUACCUGACUAAGAAGCCCCGGCUAACUACGUGCCAGCAGCCGCGGUAAUACGUAGGGGGCAAGCGUUAUCCGGAUUUACUGGGUGUAAAGGGAGCGCAGACGGCAAUGCAAGUCUGAAGUGAAAGGCGUGGGCUCAACCCAUGAACUGCUUUGGAAACUGUAUAGCUUGAGUGUCGGAGGGGUAAGCGGAAUUCCUAGUGUAGCGGUGAAAUGCGUAGAUAUUAGGAGGAACACCGGAGGCGAAGGCGGCUUACUGGACGACAACUGACGUUGAGGCUCGAAGGCGUGGGGAGCAAACAGGAUUAGAUACCCUGGUAGUCCACGCAGUAAACGAUGAAUACUUGGUGUCGGUGAGGUAAACUCAUCGGUGCCGCAAGCUAACGCAUUAAGUAUUCCACCUGGGGAGUACGUUCGCAAGAAUGAAACUCAAAGGAAUUGACGGGGACCCGCACAAGCGGUGGAGCAUGU
rnacentral:rRNA from 1 species